AUUAAAAGCAAUCAGUUCCCCAAAACCUGCUGGAGAAAGGAAGUCUUCCUCUGUCAGUGGAAGGACCUCAAGGAAGGAGCCAGUCUAGUUUCUCUAGGGAGGGAGUUUCUCAGCCUGGGAGCAGCCACCGAGGAGGCCCUCUCUCCCGUCCCCACCAAGCAUACCUGUGAGGGUGGCAGGACUGAGAGAAAGGCCUCCCCUGAGGAUCUCAGGACCUGGGCAGGUUCGUGUGAGGGAAUACGGCCUGAGAGCUUGGAUGGCUACAUAGGUCAUAACCUUUGAAUUGAGCCUGAAAACAAACCUGUAGCCAGUGGAGCUAUUGUAACAAGAGAGCUGUCUGCUCCCUACAACUAGCCCUGGUCAAAACUUUGGCUGCAGCUCUUUUCAAACUUUUUCAAAAUUCAGCCCCACACAGAGUGCAAUUCAGUACAGUGGUUCUUCGGUUCUC